GACGAACGCUGGCGGCGUGCUUAACACAUGCAAGUCGAGCGGUAAGGCCCUUUCGGGGGUACACGAGCGGCGAACGGGUGAGUAACACGUGGGUGACCUGCCCUCAGCUCUGGGAUAAGCCUGGGAAACUGGGUCUAAUACCGGAUAUGACUCCAUGACGCAUGUUGUGGGGUGGAAAGCCUUGUGCGGCUGAGGAUGGGCCCGCGGCCUAUCAGCUUGUUGGUGGGGAUGGCCUACCAAGGCGACGACGGGUAGCCGGCCUGAGAGGGCG
rnacentral:rRNA from 1 species